rnacentral:tRNA from 1 species
UUAUAGAUUGUUGAAGCGGUUAUAACAAUUUUCAAUUUAAUGCAAAUUUAAUAUAACAGUUUCAUGGUCUGAAUGUUUGACCAAAUUCCUUGAGAAAAAUGAUUCUGAAUGCUCUAUUUUAUUAAUUGUUCUAAUUAUUUAAACGAUAAACGGAACUGGUUGUAGGUUCGAUUCCUACUCAAGGAA